rnacentral:lncRNA from 1 species
AAGUGUGGGUGCUGGGAUCUGAACCCCAGUCUUCUGGUAAAGCUGUAAACACUUUUAACCCAGGCCUCCAUCCUCACCAUUGGUUUUUAAAAUAAUAAGUACUGAUUUCUCCCAGUGAGAACGUACCGCAGUGCAUUAGUAAAUAACCAAAGGAUGCGCAUUGUGCCCGCAAGGAUUAUGGGUGAGGGUUUGUAUGCUGUAAGGCAGUGGUUCUCAACCUUCCUAGUGCUGUGAUCGUUUAAUACAGCUCCUCAUGUGCUGAUCCCCAACCAUACAAUUAUUUUUGUUACUACUUCAUAACUAAUUUUGCUACUGUAAUAAAUUACAGUACAAAUAUCAGUGGUUUCUGAUAGACAGGGGACCGCUGUAUUGAGAACUGCUGUUGUAGAGGAUAGUGGUGCAAGGAACAUUAUUUGAAAUUAUCGUGGUAAACAUGGGCAUCAGGAAUGUAGUUACGGUGAUGGGCCUAAACACUGUUGGCACUAUUAAUAAAGUCCAUGUCUUCAUAAGCAAUCAGUCUACAGUGUCUAGAAGCAAUGGCUGACGGUGUUUUAUCUCCUGUAUAUUUAUUUGGACGUGAGACUAGGAUAUGUCAGAAACAGAAAUCAUUACUAAGUGGCCCUGUAAUAUUUUACCUAUCCUUUUAUUCUGGACAAAGUAUGAUUUAUGAUUGAGGAUGUCUCAUUUUGUAAGGAAAUUUCUAGAAUACUGAAGUAUCCCUCAGCACUAGUUUAGAGAGGUCAUCUUGUGGCUGUAAUUUUUGUAAAUACAGACUAGAGUUAAAAAUAAAGUCCCCAUGUGUGAAUG